rnacentral:ncRNA from 2 species
ACAUGUUCCGAGGGGUGCUCCGGCAGGGAGCUGAGAUACCGCGGUCGCGCGGUGACCCUUUGAACCUGAUCCGGGUCAUGCCGGCGAAGGGACAGGGAUGCUACAGAAA